UACGUAGGGUGCAAGCGUUGUCCGGAAUUAUUGGGCGUAAAGAGCUCGUAGGCGGUCUGUCGCGUCUGCUGUGAAAACUCAGGGCUUAACCCUGAGCUUGCAGUGGGUACGGGCAGACUAGAGUGCGGUAGGGGAGACUGGAAUUCCUGGUGUAGCGGUGAAAUGCGCAGAUAUCAGGAGGAACACCGGUGGCGAAGGCAGCUCGCUGGGACGGUACUGACGCUGAGGCGCGAAAGCGUGGGGAGCGAACAGG
rnacentral:rRNA from 1 species